UUAACGACUCUCGACAACGGAUAUCUCGGCUCUCGCAUCGAUGAAGAACGUAGCGAAAUGCGAUACUUGGUGUGAAUUGCAGAAUCCCGUGAACCAUCGAGUAUUUGAACGCAAGUUGCGCCCGAAGCCUUCUAGCUGAGGGCACGUCUGCCUGGGUGUCACGC
rnacentral:rRNA from 1 species